GAUGAAGAACGCAGCGAAAUGCGAUAAGUAAUGUGAAUUGCAGAAUUCAGUGAAUCAUCGAAUCUUUGAACGCACAUUGCGCCCGCCAGUAUUCUGGCGGGCAUGCCUGUUCGAGCGUCAUUUCAACCAUCAAGCCCCCGGCUUGUGUUGGGGACCUGCGGCUGCCGCAGGCCCUGAAAAGCAGUGGCGGGCUCGCUGUCACACCGAGCGUAGUAGAUCUCAUCUCGCUCAGGGCGUGCUGCGGGUUCCGGACGUCAAACCACCUUCAUAACCCAAGGUUGACCUCGGAUCAGGUAGGAAGACCCGCUGAACUUAAGCAUAUCAAUAAGCGGAGGA
rnacentral:misc_RNA from 1 species